rnacentral:rRNA from 1 species
UACAGAGGGUGCGAGCGUUAAUCGGAAUAACUGGGCGUAAAGGGCGCGUAGGUGGUUUAUUAAGAUGCAUGUGAAAUCCCUGGGCUUAACCUAGGAAUGGCAUGGAUGACUGAUAAGCUAGAGUCUAGAAGAAGGUAGUGGAAUUUCCGGUGUAGCGGUGAAAUGCGUAGAGAUCGGAAGGAACAUCAGUGGCGAAGGCGUCUACCUAGACAAAGACUGACACUGAGGCGCGAAAGCGUGGGUAGCAAACAGG